UGGUCGACCGGUUCCCCUCCCCGGUGGCCUCGGCGCGGCUCUUCCCCUCGCCCGGCUCCGUCAAGCUGCUACCGGAGUCCCUCCUUCGUGGUACCUUCACCGACAAGAAAAGCGAAAAGCGGGUCUCACCAGUGCCACGGGUGCUUUCACCGCAUUAAGAGGGCUUCUCCCCCCCCCCCCCAUCGAGGCAAAGUCUGUUCUGGGAUUUGUGGAUCAGUGCUCUCAGGCAUUUCAUAAGGUAUUUUUAACCUAUUGCAAAGUCCGGCAGCACUCGAGGGUGGAAAUAACACCAAAACUUCAGCAUAGGGAUGGCCCGCUAUCACAUACACCAGCCCUGCACGCCCAUACACCAUUAGGAGUCCUGCUGCCACUGCCUGCUAGUCUUUAAAUUUUCAAACUCAGUUCAAAACCCCAGACCAGGGGAAGGACUCACAGAGGUUUGGACCCUAGACUCUUGGAACAAGUUUCAAAUUCCAGCAGCCUUCUGUUUUUCCAAGACAGAUAAACUAAGUGGCUUGCUGAAUACUGCAUGUGUUUUCAGGCAAGAUCUGGAAAACAGCAGGUCUUUCCUCAGAAAGGACAUUAAACAUCCUGUGACAUUUUUCAUGAGAACUAAGAUAAAAUUGGAUCUUUUCUUACGGUUCCCAAACACUGUUGCUGGACAAGAGCUGCUUGGUUCUUGUCGUUCCCCCAGGACCUUGCUGGCUUUCAGUGCUGCUAUAAAGAGCAAGUGCAAAGCUCCCAGGAGUGUGCAAGCAGAGCAUUUGGAGAGUGACAGGGAGACAUUUGCUAUGCUGGUCUUCAGGAUAAGUUAAAAAUCCUUCAAGAUGACAGAGCUACUCUGUGCAGUACAGCCAGCCACACAGGACAGCCAGGAGAGACUCAUACUUCACCUUUUUCUGCACACCAUGGGAUGAAGCUGAACACUGGGCAGCCCACAUCACCUAUGCACAUCUUCCCUAGCAGUACACCUCUCCUACAGCAUGGCAGCUCACAGCUGCUCGAGAGAAAAGGAGCUACUUUUCCCUACCAUCUGUGUCAGUAACAAAAGCUUGUCCUUGAAUGAGAAAAAAGUGCAUCUCUUACUUUCUCGGUGAGUUUUUUAUUUUUUCCUCUCUUUUUUUAUAUUUUGGAAAGAUUUUUAAUCUUACGUGGAUUAAACUAUACUUCACGUUGAAAGAUUUUGUCAAAAUACACUGCUAACAUAGUUGCAAUGCACUUCAUUUGAACUGCAUAACGCUGCAAGAUAAUAGCUCUGAACAACGUGUGCAUUGAGCUACCGGUCAAGUGAUUGGGGAUCUCACCAUCACAGCAAACUUCCUCUGCAAGUCUGGUUGGCAGCAUCUCAGUGACAACUCAUCAGCAGUGGGAAUGACAGCGGUUAUCUGUGUUGGGUGGUGACAUCGUCUGGGUCAACAACAGGUAAUGUAUCUCUGUGGUGUGGAAAGGAUAUUGCCAGAGUGCCACAGAACCAUGUGUAUUUGACAUAUUUGGGAUAUGCAGAGACGCAGUAACACCACUCACACCCUGCCGACCUGCCGUUGGCACUACAACAACUUUAAAACGCUUUUGUGCUGUUUAAUUUUUAUAUAAAUUAAUUUUAAGCACUGAAGUAUCCUAAGCUAGAUAUCCAAAACAACAUUCAUGACUUCAUUUGGUUCUUGGAGCAACACUCUUAACAGUAAUAGAAAUACAAGGUUUUAGGUUACAUGCAUGUUUUACACAUUCGUGACAGGCUUCCUUUUGUCGCUGCUAGAACAGCUUUUUCUCAUGCAAGUUUCAGCUGCUGACACCAGAUAAAUGACCCAUUGCAUGGCUCCAUUUAGCCAUUUGACAAGCAACAGAAUAGGAGUCACCUGUAAUGGCCUUAAUCCCUCCAAAGUUGCAGGACUAUGCAUGUUGCUUUCUUUAGAAGUGCUGUAAUCAAGAUAUGAAAGGAGCACAUGCCCUCACCUGGAGUGCCUGACCAGGCAAAGAAAACACAGUCAGGAAAGGACUUGUUUUGGUUUGUUUCCUAUGCAAACAAGAGUAAUACUUUUGCACUCUUUUACACUUUGCAGAACAUAAAAAUAAACAAAGUACAAUACUGUGGAAUUUAACAGGUAAAAUAAGUUUUUACAGUUUGGAGGAUGGUUAGGUGCCAUGGUACAGUUGAUGAAUGGCCUUCCUACGCUAUGUAUUAAGUUGAACCUUUAUAUACAAAUAUCUGUUGUAAACUGAAAACCUCAUUACCCUCAUUCCACUGCCCUCCUCUCCCAUCUCCCUGUUACAGCCAGCCAAAGUACAGGAGUAUGCUGUAAUGGCAUGCUCAGAGCAACAUUUCCAGAUCUGGCCCCUAAUAUUUGGAUCUACAACAUUUGGCAUCCUAUAGCCAAGGGAACAGAGGUUCCAUGGCAUCUCUAGAAAUGAAGCCAAAGAUAGGAGGAACUAUAGUCCCUAUGGUUCCCUCCAUCACCCAAAUGCAGCUACAGUCCAGAUAUUGCUGACUCUAAGGGAAGAAAGUAAAGUACCCACCACUUGUGAGCUCCUUUCUGGAGGUGAAGGCAAGCUCUGCUUCUUACCGACAUAAAGGGCUUCAGAAAGGGAUCAAGAGACUGUGAUGAAAUCCUUAAAAUAUGUGGUUGUAUAAGUCAUAUAUGUAACCUGGGAUAGAAAAUUAUUAUUCCACAGCCUCCUCACUUUUUCAUGGACACUAGCAAUUCCUGGAACAUCAGACCAUCAUAUGGCAUCAGACCAAAAAAUGCUUUUAAAAUCAGCCAGUUUCUAAUGACACUCAAAACUAGAUGUGGGUAUGUCUUUCAACCUAUUGAGUGCAUCAUCUUCCAGAAUCUUUGGAAAUUUUGGCAGAAGUAUCCUCUUUUUCUUGAUAUAAAAUAAGUAUAGGCAGAUCAAUACUUAAUAUUAGUUGAACAAGAGGACAAUUAAUCUCCUUUUAGUAAUUACAAGCUUCCACAUUUCAAACCUCCUGCCUUGCUGCUGUUAAUCUGGGGUAUCUCUUCUGGCAUGCCACUGAAGUCCUUGGUCCAAGCACAUCCAGUAAACUUUUUAGACACAUUUAAAUGCAUGUAUUUUACAAAGAUCUGCACUCCAGCUAGCUAAUGCAACAAUGUUUCACUGGAAAACAAAGAUUCAUCACUACAAUUGUCUUAUGGAAACAUGGUUUAACAAACUUUUGGCUGGACAGGAGCUUUAAAAAAAACUUUGUAUGUCAAAUGACUUGCUUUUGGCAACCUGCUAGGCUUCCUGCUAGCAGGCUUUUUUUUGGUGGAAAAAGUGAAAUGAAAUGUAGACAUUUUGAAAUUUCCCAUCAGAAGAAAAACUGUAAGUAGAUGUUGGAAUUUUUCACAGCAUGGGAAUAAUAAAUUUGAAUUAGUUGUACUUGGAAGCAAGCCUUUGCACAGCCAUUCCAGUCUCUCUUCCAUAUUCACUUGACUGUGGACCAGAAGUUUGGGCUACUUUAGUCCAAAGAGGAAUCUGACACCAAAUAUAGGCUAUAAUGUUGUUCUAGUCUGGGGAGACCUAACCAUUUCCAUGGUUCUACAACUUUUCACAGCAUUAUGUUUUUAUUCUUCCUUCUGGAUGAUGAGGCUUACUGUGCUCUGCAGAAGGGAUGGUGUUAGCAGCUUAUCCUGCUCAUCAUCAACACCCUUGCUGGUACCACCUCUUGAGGAAAUGAACAAGCUAAAGACGGCUGAAUUGGGAAUCAAAGCCUGAGGGCAGUGCAGGGGAUCUUUAUCCUCUUCUCCAAAGCAGCACAUGAUACCGAGUAAAAGAAGAUGGUGAGCCACCACCAAUUCUUCACACCUCCACAACACAGAAAACCGGUCAUUUGGCAAUAAGUGGCUGUACCUCAGACAAAACUCUGGCUGGUGCUUGCUGACUGCUGGGGCUUUCAGUGAGAGCUCUUCAUCCAACCCAGGGUAUGCUGUGCCCCUGGACAUGUUUUUGUUCCAGCUCACCUGUAAAACGCACAGCUUAACACCUAAGACUACUUUCAAUUCAGUUUUUACUACCUAAUUGUUGUAGCUGUUGUGUUCACAGGCUAGGGGAGGAGUUUCUUUCCUUUAAACUUUAAUACACUUCUUUAAAUAAAAUAUUGCCAUUGAUAGUAUCUACAGCAAACAUUUACAGAGUUAACAAACACAGAAACUACUGUCAUUCCACACAGAAACUUACAAGCAUAAAAGAUUUCUGUUUUAUUUGGAGAUGUACCAGAUUAUUUCCAGGGGCACUUAUGCAACACAAAAUCUUACAGAUAAUUUUUUUUCACCCUGUGCUUGUGCAAGGUGGUUUUUUUCCCCCCAUUCAUUUGCUUUUUUCUCUCCAAGUUAAGCAUGUACAAACAGAGGCCUAAACCAGAGCAAGCUAAAAGUACAUCAGAAAUUUGCUCUGCAUAGCAAGAUAUUUUGGUAAAUAUUACAUUGAUUAUACGUGGCCUUGCAUUUUGGUAUCUGAUACUGCAAGGGCUUGGUUUCCUCUUUCCAUAGGGCAGUGCCUGAGCACGGUGCUUCAUGGGUUUCCAGUGGCCUUUUUAGUAUGGCAAGACAUGUUUAGUAUGACAUGAGGAGUACAUUUGUGAGUCAGGCUUCUGUCAGGAGCCGUGGGGUGCCCAGAGGACCAUGGGUACAGGCUGGCUUGCAGCUGUGCUCACCCACACAGGCAGCACAUUGUCUUCAGGAGGGGCUGGAGCUGAAAUGAGGCUGAUGAUGCUGGUAGGUGCGAAAAACAGCAUCAGAGCAUAACCCCUCUUUAUGCCACUGACAGCAUUUGGUAUGAGGAUGUUUGAUGCAUCACCCCUUCAAGGGCAAGCAGGUCAGCACAAACCAACCAACCAACCCACCUUCUCCACAGGCUCUCCUGCUGUAAAACCACCCAAAUGCUGUACAAGGUGUGGGGAUUCAGCCAUGGGCCUGCAAAGCAUGAGAGGCCUCUUGUGCACAUGCAUUCACCCAAGCGUGCUUUCGGGUCUCCUGAGUAAAGGCACCCUGCACUACUCUUGGGGGAUGAAUACAUGUCUGCACAAAGGCUUGAAGCCUCAUCUUACCUUCUCAAGGCUUGAAAUUUAAAACGAUAAGGAAACGUAGAAUGGUAUUAUCUACCAUUUAAUUGCUCUAAGAGUAAUGCUGCUAACUUUAUGACAGGUGACAGAAACUGGUUUCUUUAUCGACAGAUUCCUGAUUCACAUCUGAGUAAUAUUUUAUUAAAGCUUGUUUAUUUUUCAAA